UACGUAGGGUGCAAGCGUUGUCCGGAAUUAUUGGGCGUAAAGAGCUCGUAGGCGGUUUGUUACGUCGGCUGUGAAAUCCCGAGGCUCAACCUCGGGUCUGCAGUCGAUACGAGCAAACUAGAGUGUUGCAGGGGAGACUGGAAUUCCUGGUGUAGCGGUGAAAUGCGCAGAUAUCAGGAGGAACACCGGUGGCGAAGGCGGGUCUCUGGGCCGAUACUGACACUGAGGAGCGAAAGCGUGGGGAGCGAACAGG
rnacentral:rRNA from 1 species